AUUGAACGCUGGCGGCAUGCUUUACACAUGCAAGUCGAACGGUAACAGGGUGCUUGCACCGCUGACGAGUAGCGAACGGGUGAGUAAUGCGUCGGAACGUGCCGAGUAGUGGGGGAUAACGCAGCGAAAGUUGUGCUAAUACCGCAUACGUACUGAGGUAGAAAGUGGCGGACCUUCGGGCCUUACGCUAUUCGAGCGGCCGACGUCUGUUUAGCUAGUAGGUGAGGUAAAGGCUCACCUAGGCGACGAUAAGUAGCGGGUCUGAGAGGAUGAUCCGCCACACUGGGACUGAGACACGGCCCAGACUCCUACGGGAGGCAGCAGUGGGGAAUUUUGGACAAUGGGCGAAAGCCUGAUCCAGCCAUGCCGCGUGUCUGAAGAAGGCCUUCGGGUUGUAAAGGACUUUUGUCAGGGAGGAAAUCCCUAGUGCUAAUAACACUGGGGGAUGACAGUACCUGAAGAAUAAGCACCGGCUAACUACGUGCCAGCAGCCGCCGUAA
rnacentral:rRNA from 1 species